GACGAACGCUGGCGGCGUGCUUAACACAUGCAAGUCGAACGAAAAGGCCCUGCUUUUGUGCGUUGCUCGAUUGGCGAACAGGUGAGUAACACGUGAGUAACCUGCCCUUGUAUGUGGGAUAACUUCACGAAACUGGGGCUAAUACCCGAGAGGAGCUCCUGCUGCACGGGGGGGGUUGGAAAGUUUCGGCGGUGGGGGAUGGACUCGCUGGUUAUCCGCUUGUUGGGCGGGUAGUUGCGUACCAAGGCUUUGACGGGUAGCCGGCGUGAGAGAGUGACCGGCGACAAUGGGACUGAGAUACGGAGCAGACUCCUACGGGAGGCAGUAGUGGAGAAUAUGGCGCAAUGGGGCGAAGCCUGAUGCAGAAAUGCCGCGUGCGGGAUGACGUCCUUCGGGUUGUAAACCGAUUUCGAAUGUGACGAAGAGUGCGUGACGGUAAUGGGUAAAGAAGCAACGGCUAACUACGUG
rnacentral:rRNA from 1 species